rnacentral:tRNA from 1 species
UUACGUUUAGCUCAGUUGGUAGAGCAUUUCACUUCUAAUGAAAGAGUCGCAGGUUCAAUUCCUGUAACGUAUA